AUUGAACGCUGGCGGCAGGCCUAACACAUGCAAGUCGAACGAGUGGCGGACGGGUGAGUAAUGUCUGGGAAACUGCCUGAUGGAGGGGGAUAACUACUGGAAACGGUAGCUAAUACCGCAUACCAUCAGAUGUGCCCAGAUGGGAUUAGCUUGUUGGUGGGGUAACGGCUCACCAAGGCGACGAUCCCUAGUUGGUCUGAUAGGAUGACCAGCCACACUGGAAAUGAACAACGGGCCAGAUGCCUACAAGAGGAAGCAGUGGGGAAUAUUGCACAAUGGGCGGAAGCCUGAUGCAGCCAUGCCGCUUGUAUGAAGAAGGCCUUAGGGUUGUAAAGUACUUUCAGCGGGGAGGAGUUACCCGCAGAAGAAGCACCGGCUAACUCAGUGCCAGCAGCCGCGGUAAUUC
rnacentral:rRNA from 1 species